GGAUGCGAUUAUAAUAGCACUAAAGUACCGGAUCCCAUCAGAACUCCGAAGAUAAGCAUGCUUGGGCGAGAGUAGUGUACUAGGAUGGGAGACCACGUGGGAAGUCCUCGUGUUGCUUUCC
rfam:Triticum aestivum genome assembly, contig: Triticum_aestivum_CS42_TGACv1_scaffold_393665_5AS